rnacentral:sRNA from 1 species
GCUGGGCGUGGUGGGAGGCGCCUGUAAUCCCAGCUACUCGGGAGGUUGAGGCAGGAGAAUCGCUUGAACCCGGGAGGUGGAGGUUGCAGUGAGCCGAGAUUGCACCACUGUACUCAAGUCUGGGCAACAGAGUGAGACCAUGUUGCAAAAAUAAAUAAAUAAAUAAAUAAAAUAAAAAAGAUUUAAAAUAGAUUUUAGCUUUUUUUUUUGAAACGGAGUUUUGCUCUUGUUGCCCAGGCUGGAGUGCAAUGGCGCAAUCUUGGCUCACUGCAACCUCUGCCUCCUGGGUUCAAGUGAUUCUCCUGCCUCAG